UAAUGGGUGAUGGCGUGCCUUUUGUAGAAUGAACCGGCGAGUUACGAUUUGAUGCAAGGUUAAGCAGUAAAUGUGGAGCCGUAGCGAAAGCGAGUCUGAAUAGGGCGUUUAGUAUUUGGUCGUAGACCCGAAACCAGGUGAUCUACCCUUGGUCAGGUUGAAGUUCAGGUAACACUGAAUGGAGGACCGAACCGACUUACGUUGAAAAGUGAGCGGAUGAACUGAGGGUAGCGGAGAAAUUCCAAUCGAACCUGGAGAUAGCUGGUUCUCUCCGAAAUAGCUUUAGGGCUAGCCUCAAGUGAUGAUUAUUGGAGGUAGAGCACUGUUUGGACG
rnacentral:rRNA from 1 species